GGGCAAUGAUGAAAAGGUUUUACUACUGAUCUUUGUAACUAUGAUGGUUUCUACACUUGACCUGAGCUCA
rnacentral:snoRNA from 10 species